GACGAACCGUGCGAACGUUGUUCGGAAUCACUGGGCUUAAAGGGCGCGUAGGCGGGUCAGCAAGUCCGGGGUGAAAUCUUUCGGCUCAACCGGAAAAGUGCCUCGGAUACUGCUGGUCUUGAGGGAGGUAGGGGUUUGUGGAACUUCUGGUGGAGCGGUGAAAUGCGUUGAUAUCAGAAGGAACACCGGUGGCGAAAGCGACGAACUGGACCUCUUCUGACGCUGAGGCGCGAAAGCUAGGGGAGCAAACGGG
rnacentral:rRNA from 1 species